rnacentral:tRNA from 1 species
UGGCGUAGGGGUAACGCGCCCUAACUAGAGAUCAGGGAGUCGUGAGUUCGAUUCUCAC